AUUGAACGCUGGCGGCAUGCUUUACACAUGCAAGUCGAACGGUAACAGGUCUUCGGAUGCUGACGAGUGGCGAACGGGUGAGUAAUACAUCGGAACGUGCCUAGUAGUGGGGGAUAACUACUCGAAAGAGUAGCUAAUACCGCAUGAGAUCUACGGAUGAAAGCAGGGGACCUUCGGGCCUUGUGCUACUAGAGCGGCUGAUGGCAGAUUAGGUAGUUGGUGGGGUAAAGGCUUACCAAGCCUGCGAUCUGUAGCUGGUCUGAGAGGACGACCAGCCACACUGGGACUGAGACACGGCCCAGACUCCUACGGGAGGCAGCAGUGGGGAAUUUUGGACAAUGGGCGAAAGCCUGAUCCAGCAAUGCCGCGUGCAGGAUGAAGGCCCUCGGGUUGUAAACUGCUUUUGUACGGAACGAAAAGCCUGGGGCUAAUAUCCCCGGGUCACGACGGUACCGUAAGAAUAAGCACCGGCUAACUACGUG
rnacentral:rRNA from 1 species